rnacentral:rRNA from 1 species
UACAGAGACUGCAAGCGUUAUUCGGAUUCACUGGGCGUAAAGGGUGCGCAGGCGGCCGAGUGUGUGAGGCGUGAAAGCCCGGGGCUUAACCCCGGAAUUGCACCUCAAACUACACGGCUAGAGCAUUGGAGAGGGUAGCAGAAUUCACGGUGUAGCAGUGAAAUGCGUAGAUAUCGUGAGGAAUACCAGAGGCGAAGGCGGCUACCUGGACAAUUGCUGACGCCCAGGCACGAAAGCGUGGGGAGCAAAAGGG